UGCCCCGUGGCUGAGUUGGUUACAGCGUCCGACUGUUAAGGUGGUCUUUGGCCCCUCAACGUAAUCGGAAGGUCGUGAGUUCGAGCCUCACCGGGGCAG